rnacentral:rRNA from 1 species
AUUCCAGCUCCAAUAGCGUAUAUUAAAGUUGUUGCAGUUGAAAAGCUCGUAGUCGAACUUCAGACCUGGCUGGGCGGUCUGCCUUAACGGUACGUACUGUCCGGCCGGGCCUUACCUCUUGGUGAGCCGGCAUGCCCUUUACUGGGUGUGUCGGGGAACCAGGACUUUUACUUUGAGAAAAUUAGAGUGUUCAAAGCAGGCUUAUGCCCGAAUACAUUAGCAUGGAAUAAUAGAAUAGGACGUGCGGUCCUAUUUUGCUGGUUUCUAGAGUCGCCGUAAUGAUUAAUAGGGACAGUUGGGGGCAUUAGUAUUCAGUUGCUAGAGGUGAAAUUCUUGGAUUUACUGAAGAAUAACUUCUGCGAAAGCAUUUGCCAAGGAUGUUUUCAUUG